rnacentral:piRNA from 1 species
UUCCAGCCAAGGAAAAGUAGCCCCC